GAUGAACGCUGGCGGCGUGCCUAAUACAUGCAAGUCGAGCGAACAGACGAGGAGCUUGCUCCUCUGACGUUAGCGGCGGACGGGUGAGUAACACGUGGAUAACCUACCUAUAAGACUGGGAUAACUUCGGGAAACCGGAGCUAAUACCGGAUAAUAUAUUGAACCGCAUGGUUCAAUAGUGAAAGACGGUUUUGCUGUCACUUAUAGAUGGAUCCGCGCCGCAUUAGCUAGUUGGUAAGGUAACGGCUUACCAAGGCAACGAUGCGUAGCCGACCUGAGAGGGGGGUCGGCCACACUGGAACUGAGACACGUUCCAGACUACUACGGGAGGCAGCAGUAGGGAAUCUUACGCAAUGGGCGAAAGCCUGACGGAGCAACGCCGCGUGAGUGAUGAAGGUCUUCGGAUCGUAAAACUCUGUUAUUAGGGAAGAACAAAUGUGUAAGUAACUAUGCACGUCUUGACGGUAACUAAUCAGAAAGCCACGGCUAACUACGUG
rnacentral:rRNA from 1 species